UCGAGAAUCUUUCGCAAUGGGCGAAAGCCUGACCCAGCAACGCCGCGUGAAGGAUGAAGUAUUUCGGUAUGUAAACUUCGAAAGAAUAGGAAGAAUAAAUGACGGUACUAUUUAUAAGGUCCGGCUAACUACGUGCCAGCAGCCGCGGUAAUACGUAGGGACCAAGCGUUGUUCGGAUUUACUGGGCGUAAAGGGUGCGUAGGCGGCAUAUCAAGUCACUUGUGAAAUCUCCGGGCUUAACUCGGAACUGCCAAGUGAUACUGAUGUGCUAGAGUGCAGAAAGGGCAACUGGAAUUCUUGGUGUAGCGGUGAAAUGCGUAGAUAUCAAGAGGAACACCUGAGGCGAAGGCGAGUUGCUAGGCUGACACUGACGCUGAGGUACGAAAGCUAGGGGAGCGAACGGGAUUAGAUACCCAUGUAGUCCCUGAGCGGGCUGGCAAGGCGCAU
rnacentral:rRNA from 1 species